CACUAGCACAGGUGUUUGACUAGGGUUCUUUACUCGACUCGAUCUGCAUCUGUGAGCUAGGCGCUUCUAUGUACUAGUACCUUAUGCUAGUCUGGAACGAUCUUAGCUGUGUCUAUGGAACCUGCACUGUUCUUCGGUGUUGGAUUCCUGGAUACUAGUGUAUUUCCUCUAUGCUAUGGCUGGACAAGUGCGUUUUAGUAAAGGGUUGGACCUUGCGCUCCGCGUGGAGUUUUCCGCAAGGAAAAUUGAACAAAGCCGUUUGGUUGUGCUGUUCGAGAAGUUCAUGAAGAGACGGGAUUUAAGUUACUGAAACUUCAGGCAUAGGCCACAUGAAAUUCCAGCUAAACGACGCUCUGACUAGAGGAUACAAUCCAGUUGCAUAUUAGGAGAACAACUCGAUGCUUCGAAUACUCACAGAUUAAAUUAGUUUUGUUCACUUUUGCCCGGGGCAGCCGAACGCUUCUUGUGUGAUUGUCGAUACGCUUCUGUGGUGCACGGCGAUCGCUUUAAAGUGCAGGCGGACUACCAAUCGUAUACUGAUUGCCAGAAGCGCGUUUCUGAAUAUUAUACGAAUCAAAAGCAGUGGGUAGGCUGCUACGGCUUUCUUGUCAAUUUGAAA